rnacentral:rRNA from 1 species
UAGGGAAUCUUCCGCAAUGGGCGAAAGCCUGACGGAGCAACGCCGCGUGAGUGAUGAAGGUCUUCGGAUCGUAAAACUCUGUUAUUAGGGAAGAACAAAUGUGUAAGUAACUAUGCACAUCUUGACGGUACCUAAUCAGAAAGCCACGGCUAACUACGUGCCAGCAGCCGCGGUAAUACGUAGGUGGCAAGCGUUAUCCGGAAUUAUUGGGCGUAAAGCGCGCGUAGGCGGUUUUUUAAGUCUGAUGUGAAAGCCCCCGGCUCAACCGGGGAGGGUCAUUGGAAACUGGUUGACUUGAGUGCAGAAGAGGAGAGUGGAAUUCCAUGUGUAGCGGUGAAAUGCGUAGCUAUAUGGAGGAACACCAGUGGCGAAGGCGACUCUCUGGUCUGUAACUGACGCUGAGGCUCGAAAGCGUGGGUAGCAAACAGG